CCCUUCGACGUCUGGGGCCGCACGCGUGCUACAGUGGUGGUGGUAACGCGCGUUCCGUGCUCGUAAGGUGUUCGGGAAUCGUCAAGCUCCCCCAUGCCGGGGAUCGCGGCUUGCAAUUGUGCCUCGUGAACCAGGAAUGCCUAGUAGUCGCGGGCAUGACCUCGCGUCGACUGCGUCCCUGCCCUUUGUACACACCGCCCGUCGCUGCCAUCGGUGGACGGCCGAGCCAGGGCUUUGGACUGCGAGCGCCUGCCCUUCGUCUUCGGACGGGGAGUCGUUGCCCGCGGAAAAUCGUCCGAACUCGGUCGCCCCGAGAUAGCAAAAGUCGUAACA
rnacentral:rRNA from 1 species